rfam:Oryza nivara chromosome 7, whole genome shotgun sequence.
UUUAAGUGUAACCAUAAAUUUCCGUACCUAAUUUUGAUUGUCCGUUUUAUUUGAAAUUUUUUUAUAAUUAGUAUUUUUGUUGUUAUGAUAUGAUAAAAUAUGAAUAAUACUUUAUGCGUGAUUUAUGUUUUUUAAUUGUUUAAAAAAAUUUUUAAAUAAGACAAACGAUCAAAGUUUAGCACGGAAAUAUAUGGCUACAUUUAAA